rnacentral:rRNA from 1 species
ACGCUGUAAACGAUGUCGAUUUGAAGGUUGUUCCCUUGAGGAGUGGCUUUCGGAGCUAACGCGUUAAAUCGACCGCCUGGGGAGUACGGCCGCAAGGUUAAAACUCAAAUGAAUUGACGGGGGCCCGCACAAGCGGUGGAGCAUGUGGUUUAAUUCGAUGCAACGCGAAGAACCUUACCUACUCUUGACAUCCAGAGAACUUAGCAGAGAUGCUUUGGUGCCUUCGGGAACUCUGAGACAGGUGCUGCAUGGCUGUCGUCAGCUCGUGUUGUGAAAUGUUGGGUUAAGUCCCGCAACGAGCGCAACCCUUAUCCUUUGUUGCCAGCGAUUCGGUCGGGAACUCAAAGGAGACUGCCGGUGAUAAACCGGAGGAAGGUGGGGAUGACGUCAAGUCAUCAUGGCCCUUACGAGUAGGGCUACACACGUGCUACAAUGGCGUAUACAAAGAGAAGCGACCUCGCGAGAGCAAGCGGAACUCAUAAAGUACGUCGUAGUCCGGAUUGGAGUCUGCAACUCGACUCCAUGAAGUCGGAAUCGCUAGUAAUCGUAGAUCAGAAUGCUACGGUGAAUACGUUCCCGGGCCUUGUACACACCGCCCGUCACACCAUGGGAGUGGGUUGCAAAAGAAGUAGGUAGCUUAACCUUCGGGAGGGCGCUUACCACUUUGUGAUUCAUGA